GACGAACCGUGCAAACGUUGUUCGGAAUCACUGGGCUUAAAGGGCGCGUAGGCGGGGGACCAAGUCCGGGGUGAAAUCUUUCGGCUCAACCGGAAAACUGCCUUGGAUACUGGUCUUCUUGAGGGAGGUAGGGGCAGGUGGAACUUCCGGUGGAGCGGUGAAAUGCGUAGAUAUCGGAAGGAACACCGGUGGCGAAAGCGGCGCGCUGGACCUCUUCUGACGCUGAGGCGCGAAAGCCAGGGGAGCGAACGGG
rnacentral:rRNA from 1 species